rnacentral:rRNA from 1 species
AUUGAACGCUGGCGGCAGGCCUAACACAUGCCAGUCGAACGGUAACAGGAAGAAGCUUGCUUCUUUGCUGACGAGUGGCGGACGGGUGAGUAAUGUCUGGGAAACUGCCUGAUGGAGGGGGAUAACUACUGGAAACGGUAGCUAAUACCGCAUAACGUCGCAAGACCAAAAAGGGGGACCUUCGGGCCUCUUGCCAUCGGAUGUGCCCAGAUGGGAUUAGCUAGUAGGUGGGGUAACGGCUCACCUAGGCGACGAUCCCUAGCUGGUCUGAGAUGAUGACCAGCCACACUGGAACUGAGACACGGUCCAGACUCCUACGGGAGGCAGCAGUGGGGAAUAUUGCACAAUGGGCGCAAGCCUGAUGCAGCCAUGCCGCGUGUAUGAAGAAGGCCUUCGGGUUGUAAAGUACUUUCAGCGGGGAGGAAGGGAGUAAAGUUAAUACCUUUGCUCAUUGACGUUACCCGCAGAAGAAGCACCGGCUAACUCCGUG